ensembl:lncRNA
CUGUAAUUUACGGAUGUUCCCUAAACGCCUCACGCUCAGAUGUGAGAGCAAAAAUGACCUUAAAAGAGGGAAAAAAGGAUCUAAAAUUACAAAUGAACAAUAAAUCCUCCCGUUUGUUUUUCUUUUGCAUUUCUUCGGGCUCCAGCUCCGACUCCCCGACCAGCAGCAGGCCGAGGUCCGCUGCCUGCUGAGCGCGGAGCAGAGCCGAGCGACCCGGUGUCCUCCGCAGCCUCCACCGGGGUCUGAACGCCUCCAUCCGCUCUCAGCUCCGCCUCGGUCCCCGGGCAGUCGUCCAACCAACCAACCCCCCCAGCGGAAACCUUCCCGCAUUACAGCGUCCGAACCCGGCGGAGCCCUGGUCCAUGUGGGCACCGGGCAGCCGGGGCGAGCGCAACUCCUUCUGGCCGAGCAGAGCGCCCCAGAGGCGGGGGGAUGGAGCCGCUCUGUCCGCCCCUCUGGAGAGGGUGGGUCCGCAGACCCCACGCUGCUGUAGGUCGGUGUUAGUGUCACUCAGGAGUCGGAUGAUGCUCCGUUUUUCUUAGUUAAACCCCUUUAGAGGUGAUCAGUGACCACAGAGUGAGAGAAACUAACUGCUCGCUGGAAAACUAACUUUGAUUUUUACUGAAUGGAGUCAGACAGAAGGACCAGCUCUGUGGACAUUUGGACAAUUUCUGCAUCAUUUUGGACAAAUGUUGAUUCAUUUUGGGACAAAUUUUGAGUGAUUUUAGGAACAUUUUGAGUUAUUGUAGGAACUUUUCGAGCCAUUUGGAAUAAGUUUGCAUCAUUUUGGACAAAUUUUGUGUAAUUUGGGGAACAUUUUGAGUAAUUUUGGGAACUUUUUGAGCCAUUUGACCAAAUUUUCCAUCAUUCUGGACAAAUUUUGAUAGAUUUUGGGAACAUUUUGUGAAAUUCUGGGAACUUUUUUGAGCCAUUUGGACAAAUUCUACAUCAUGUUGGACAAAUAUUGAGUAAUUUGGGGAACUCUGUGAGUUAUUUUGGGAACCUUUUGAGCCAUUUGGACAAAUUUUAAGUAAUUCUGGGACCAUUUUGAGCUAUUUAUGAAAUGUUUAUUUUUCUCCUCUCUCUCCUGUUCAUCUACUUGACUGAAGCAGAUGAACAGCUCCUGAUGUCUCUGACUGGAGCUUUAGUUUGUGCUGAGCUGCUAACAGAGAACAUCUGGAUGUGCUGAGCUGCUGACAGAGAACAUCUGGAUGUGUUGAGCUGCUAACAGGGAACAUCUGGAUGUGUUGAAGCUGCUAACAGGGAACAUCUGGAUGUGUUGAAGCUGCUGACAGAGAACAUCUGGAUGUGUUGAAGCUGCUGACAGAGAACAUCUGGAUGUGUUGAGCUGCUAACAGGGAACAUCUGGAUGUGUUGAAGCUGCUAACAGGGAACAUCUGGAUGUGUUGAAGCUGCUGACAGAGAACAUCUGGAUGUGUUGAAGCUGCUGACAGAGAACAUCUGGAUGUGCUGAGCUGCUCUGUUGAACUGUGUGUUGGUGUUUAAUCUUUGUAACCCACAGAUGGAGCUGCUGUUCAAACAGUGCUGAGUGGGCGUUCCUGUUCCUGCAGGCUGGGCUUUGCUUUGGCUCUUGUUUUUGUGUCCUCUCCGCCUACUUGUUGAGUUCUUGUGUAACCGUCGGGUGUGUUGUCGUCGUGUUGUUGUUGUUGUUGAAGAGCAGCUGAUCAUGGACACACUGCCAUGUGGGUUGCUGACCGUCUGCUGGUGUGCGUUUUGUGUCACAGCUGAAGUCCACAGACAGAUGGAAGCCGUCGCUGGAGACGAUGUUCUUCUCGACUGUCGGUCUCUCCACAAUGACGUCACACUUCUGGAGUGGAUCAGACCCGACCUGAAGGCCGACGGAUACGUUUUCUUCUACCGCGAGAGGCGCUCGUAUGAAAACUAUCAGCAUCCAUAUUUUAAUGGCCGAGUGAAGCUGGGAGAUCUGCGGAUGGAAAACGGAAAUAUGUCUGUCCUCCUGACCAACGUACAGCCAGAUACAGACAACGGAACAUACCUGUGUGAUGUUUCUGGAGGAACCAAACGAAGAGGCAGGACAACUUCUUCUGAGAUCAAGCUGACCGUUUCCCCUGCAAAACCCAGAAACAUUCAGAAACAAAUCUGGAAUGGAGGAAACAAGGAUGGAGGAAACAGGGAUGGAGGAAAUAAGGAUGGAGGAAAUAAGGAUGGAGGAGACAAGGAUGGAAAUAAUCGAAGGCGUAAUGGAUUGAUAGUGUUUCUGUCACUUUCUGUUGCGAUGGCUUUUCUUGUUUUCAUUGUAAUCCGUAAAGAACAUAUGCCGAUCUCGAAAGAACAGAGGAAGAAUUCAGUUCCUCCUGAUGGAGCAGCAGCUGAACAGAUGUUGUGAAAGUUUUUCUGGACAGCAGCAGAACAAAGCACAGCUUCUGUAACUCUGAUGGAACCAGCAGCAGCAGAACAAAGAGAAUCCAGGUGUGGACCAACCAUGUGGUCUCUCCUUUAACUGCCACCUUAUGGUGGUGGAGGGUUUGUGAGCUCAGAGGAUGCUGGGAGAUCUGCUGUCUGGAGUUCAGCUCCUGGUAGGGUUUCUGUUGGCAGACUGGUCCAGAAACAUCAAGUCCUCCCAACAUCUCCAUCAUCUAGAUUUAUCCUGUGGAUUGUUGCUGCUGCUGCUGCUGCUGGUCUUCAUCAACUUUUCUACUCUGUUGGUUUGUCUGUAAACACUUCGCUGUUCAGAUCACUUCACUACCUUCCAGUUGCUGCCCGCAUAAAGUUCAAAACUAGAAUGAAAAAAUCUCCCUCCUACCUGAACUCUCUCAUCCAGAUCUACACUCCCUCCCUCCAACCACAGGAUUCUAAUCCAACCUCCACAGAGGUCCAGAGAUCUUCUCCUCUGUGGUUCCUCGGUGGUGGAACCAGUUGCCAAACUCUGUUCAGUCUUUAAGAAAAGACUAAAAACCAGAUCUUCACUGAACACCUUUAACUUGACAGACUGCAAAAAUAAAAAUAAAAAUAAAAAAAUCCUAGUACGUCUACUUCCUGUAGACACCACAGUUCUAUUAUCACACCUGAACUUGUUUCAUGGCUCUUAUCUGGGUUAUUUUCUCCUGACUAGAUCGUUGCUGGUGGUGGAUCUACUCUCAGAUGGACGUCUUUGGAAUGGAUACCGGAUCAUGUGACCUAAAUAUGUAGCGGGUGGCGGGAAUUGAUGGGACUCAGAAACACCCCCACAAUUUAAUCAGUUGUUCCUUGGAUCAUUUCUGAUGGAUAAGUCCUGAUAAGUCCUCAGUGGUGGAUUUGUAGUAGGAUCACAAUCAUGUGAUCAUGUAGCAUUCAUUUGUUGUCAUGGUUACAGUGACGCCGUGCCGCUAUCUGGCAAUGAUACAGAAAUCUUUAACUAAUCUGUAGAUCCAGACUAGGAGCUGCAUCACUGCCAAAAUCUAAUCACUUGGUCCUUGUGUCAUUUCUGACCUUCAAUGGAAAUUUCAUCCACAUCUGUUUAUGAGUGAUGUUGCUAACAGACAGACAGACAGACAGACAGACAGACAGACAGACAGACAGACGUACACCGAUCAUCACAUAACUCCACCGUUCUUUGGCGAAGUUGUGCGACGAUCACUGGAAAUAAAUCUGGAAAUAAAUGUGUUCCAAAGCUCUGCAUGUUAGAACCUGAUGAAAUGUUGUGGAUGUAAAGUGUUCUGUCAGAUGAGAUCAGAACCACAUAGAAAAGUUCUGAUUGUCCAGAAUGAAGCACAACUGAUGAACAGAACUUUAGAUUGAACUUGUUUUAUUGUUUAAUCUGUUAGUAGCUCUGAUGAUGGUCUAAACUGUCGUACAGGAUAAGCUAAUUUGAUAUAUUUUGUACAUUUUUAUACUACUCAGUGGUCUGUAAGUUUCAUCUUCAUCCUAUAUCAUGUUUUGUUGUUAGUCUGCAGAUAAAUGUAGUCCAGUAAAAUAACAUUGUUUGCUACUGAACUGUAGUGAAGGUUGAAUAGAAUAAACAGAAUUUAAACUGAUAGAAUGAACUGAGUUACUUCACAGACAGGAUUGUUUAUGUUUUAACACACUGGAAAUAAUGAACUUUACUGUAAAUAAUGAACUUUACUGUAAAUAAUGAACUUUGCUGUAAAUAAUGAACUUUACUGUAAAUAAUGAACUUUACUGUAAAUAAUGAACUUUGCUGUAAAUAAUGAACUUUACUGUAAAUAAUGAACUUUACUGUAAAUAAUGAACUUUACUGUAAAUAAUGAACUUUACUGUAAAUAAUGAACUUUACUGCUGUUUGACUGUCUUUGUUCUUUGUUGUCUAAUAAAGGUUGUUUCCCCAGAUUGUGAUCCUGCUGGUUCAUGUCUGACUACAACCUGUUGAACUGGUUCAGAACAAACAUAGAUCAGG